rnacentral:rRNA from 1 species
AUUGAACGCUGGCGGCAUGCCUUACACAUGCAAGUCGAACGGCAGCACGGGAGCAAUCCUGGUGGCGAGUGGCGAACGGGUGAGUAAUGUAUCGGAACGUACCUUUCAGUGGGGGAUAACGUAGCGAAAGUUACGCUAAUACCGCAUAUUCUGUGAGCAGGAAAGCAGGGGAUCGCAAGACCUUGCGCUGAUUGAGCGGCCGAUAUCAGAUUAGCUAGUUGGUGAGGUAAAGGCUCACCAAGGCGACGAUCUGUAGCGGGUCUGAGAGGAUGAUCCGCCACACUGGAACUGAGACACGGUCCAGACUCCUACGGGAGGCAGCGGUGGGGAAUUUUGGACAAUGGGCGCAAGCCUGAUCCAGCCAUGCCGCGUGAGUGAAGAA